GUGAUAAUAUAUUAAUAUUUUAUUGGCUGUUUUCAUGCUCUUUGUAUUAAUAUAAAGUACUUCAUUAAACUAAUGAAGCCACUACAAAAGUGGGACCUUUAAUAAAAAUCAGUACAUACUAAAGUCCCGACUAGACUGACAAUUUUAAUUUAACACAAAAAUGUACUCAGUACUUAUGAAACAUUAGAGUUGUAGCAAAUCGAUUGAUCUCGGUUGUAGAUAGAAUGAUUGCGCAACGGCCCAUGUUUACCGUGUACCACAAUGUAGAGAAGAUCUCUAGUUCUAUACAUCGUGCAGUAUAAAAAUCACAUCCAAAAAGGUUCAUCAUAUUAUCAUUUUCUCGCGUCCAACUAACGCUCUCGUGGCGGUGACAAACAACUACUAACUUGUAGAAAUAAUUUUUAGUAUUUAUAACUUAUAGGCUGUACCUCUGAACUCCAUACAUAGAGUGGGAUGUACUGCUGUAGUUCAGUUGACUGUUAUCUGUUAUAAAUACUUAUCACGUGUUUGGGUUUUGAGUGCAGUUUGUAGUUUUUGAAAUCUCAAAAAAAUGAAUGUGUUCUUAUAAAUAAUUAAGUCAUCAAAUUGGUGAAAGUCAAUUGGGUGUACCAAAAUCUGAUUUAUUGAAAAAAAAACAGUGGGAACAGGCACUAGGUAUCUCAUUGAAAAAAAUGUAUCUCGUUUGUUCAUCACAUUUUAAAGCUUGUGAUAUUUUAUGUAGUUGGAGGAGGAUCAACUAUAUAUACGGUUGGUACCUGUACUUAUCCAAUAGUUAAAUGUUUUAAAUUUUCAUUAAACAUACAUAUCUAUUAUAUACCAACAAUUUAAGUACUUGUAUUACAUAUAAUAUUUAUUUAUUUUAUUUACUUAUCUAUUUAUUAAUAUAACUACUAAUAUAAUAGUUCAGAAGUUUAUUUUAUCAUCAAAAUGUAUUAUUAUUUAUAGAUACGUUUAAAAAAAGUAAUCCUCGAAAAAAAAGGGACUGUUUCAGAAAAUAUAAAUGAAGUAAUUGAAACUGCUAACAUAAGUACAAAUAACAUUCAGGUUUGUUUUGUUAUAAGGCUUUACAAUUUAAAAUGGGUUUAUAACAUUUGUUUUUAAAAAUAAUAAUUUUAUUAGGUGUGUGAAAUGUAUAAUACUGGCAUAAUAAAAGAUCAUGACAUUGUAUAAUUCAUUACCCAAUGCAAGUAAUAUUGAUGAUAUUUCAAUUAAACACAUUUCUGAAUCAACUUGUAAACAAAGAAAGAUUUAUAUUGAUAAUUGAUAAUUUUUCAAAGAAUUUGCUUUUAUAAUUUGUUUGUGAACGGAUUGAAAUAGUG